CUCCAGAACAAAUUAAGUUCUUAACCCGAGGUGCCACUGUACUGAACGGACGGCCAAACAGGAAGUAGGAAGUGAAGCUGAAAAGUAGGUUUAAGAAUUAAAGGAGCAGCAGUGCUAUUUUUCUAGAAAAAGGUGCCAGAACUCACCAUGAAUGCCUCCUUCAUUCCCUUAGAAUAGCAAUGGCGUCCACCUGAGAGGUGUCAGAACUGAUUUCCAGAGAGUUCCGGCUGAAAAAAGGCCCUCGGGAGCAGUAUAAUUUCAGGCCUUACUGAGGACUUUCAAGCAGCCUUGGUUAGGAGUAGUUCCCUUGGAAUAAGGUUUGUCACCUGAAGAUGUUUGUUUAUAAUUACUUUCUCAGCAUAGAAAAUUGAUUCCAUAGCCAAUCCGAACUGAUCUUCCUUCCCCUUGUCCUGUUCUAGCCAAAGUAUGUGUCACAUGUCCUGUCCUCCUCACACAAGCUUAAGAUGCCCCUUUUGCUUUGUUAUGGGUAGUGGCAUUGCCUAUAGGCUUUAAAGUGUGUCAUAGUGGAGUUGGCUUUUAAAAUGAAGGAGCGUCUCCACCUCCAUCGUUCAGCCCGAACACUGAGGUCCAGCGCCGAGGGCCUUCUGGCGGUUCCCUCACUGCAAGAAGCGAAGUUACAGGGAACCAGGCAGAGGGCAUUCUUGGUAGUGGCGCCCGCCCUGUGGAACGCCCUCCCACCAGAUGUCAAGGAAAUAAACAACUAUCUUACAUUUAGAAGACAUCUGAAGGCAGCCCUGUUUAGGGAAGUUUUUAAUGUUUGAUGUUUUACCGUGUUUUUAAUAUUCUGUUGGGAGCCGCCCAGAGUGGCUGGGGAAGCCCAGCCAGAUGGGUGGGGUAUAAAUAAUAAAUUAUUUAUUAUUAAAAUGAGAAAAGGUAAGAUGCAUGAAGCAUUUUAAGGAAAGAUGGAUGUUAACACACUGCAGGUGAUCUCAGCCCUCUCUGUAUCAACCAAAUACUGUACAGUGGUACCUUGGGUUAAGUACUUAAUUCGUUCCAGAGGUCCGUUCUUAACCUGAAACUGUUCUUAACCUGAAGCAUCACUUUAGCUAAUGGGGCCUCCUGCUGCUGCCGCACCGCUGGAACACGAUUUCUCUUCUCAUCCUGAAGCAAAGUUCUUAACUUGAGGUAAUAUUUCUGGGUUAGCAGAGUCUGUAACCUGAAGCGUAUGUAACCUGAAGCAUAUGUAACCCAAGGUACCACUGUAUACAGAUUUUCUUGGAUCAAUAGUACACUGUGUGCAUUCAUUAGCCAUGUGUAAACGUAUGUGAUUUGGAAGAGGUCAUUGCCCAUAACAGUACAGCUCUUGUGUCUCACUGCUAAGAUUGCAAAACAUUUGCCUUGUUCAAUACGAGCAUAGGAAGCUGCCUUAUCAGAGUCCAACCAUUGCUUUAUCUAGCUGAUUGGUCUUGCUGUCCACACUACCUGGCAGGUGCUCUCCAGGGUUUCAGAGAGGCCUCUCUCCCACCCUUACAUGGAGAGGCCAUGCAUUGAAACUGGGAACUUCCACAGAUACAGCCGUUAAUGUCACAACUUGCCCAUGAGCUGGUUCUCGUUUUAUGAGGGGUCUUUUGUGGCACGUUUUCUUUCACCGGUCAUUUUGAAGGCAACUUCAGGCAAUCCCACCCCAAAUCCACAGGUAUGCUGGGCAGCUUCCAAUUUUGUAAAGGUGGUAAUAUUAUUGCUCUUUGUUAAGAUUAGUUUAUUCUGCUUUCACCCCUAACUUCCUGAAACUUUCACUUAGGUUUAGGUUAACACAGUGAAAUAAACACAGCAUGGAAUCAGCCCCGGCGUGGACCUCUAUGGAAGAUAUUGAGAGGUAGGCUGCUUUCAGCUUGCCAAACAAUCACUCUGUAUGCGUGACUUGGAAUAUUGGUCCUUGAUCAAGAAAGCACAACUUUAGAGUUGCUCCUCUAUCCC